rnacentral:misc_RNA from 1 species
GUUGAAGAACGUAGCGAAAUGCGAUACUUGGUGUGAAUUGCAGAAUCCCGUGAACCAUCGAGUCUUUGAACGCAAGUUGCGCCCGAAGCCAUCAGGUUGAGGGCACGUCUGCCUGGGCGUCACAUAUCGUUGUUCGAUGCCUAUCGCAUUGCGAUAGGACUUAGGGCGAAUGAUGGCUUCCCGUGAGCGUUGUUGCCUCGCGGUUGGUUGAAAAUCGAGUCCUUGGUAGGGUGUGCCAUGAUAGAUGGUGGUCGAGUUAGCACGAGACUGAUCAUGUGCAUGCUCCCCAAAAUAUGGCCUCUGUGACCCACACGCGUCUUUUGACGCUCAUGACGAGACCUCAGGUCAGGCGGGGCUACCCGCUGAAUUUAAGCAUAUCAAUAAGCGGAGGA